CUUCAAGUGAAUGCCGUGUGUGCAAAGGAUGUAAAUAAAGCAUCGGCGGCUCUUGAGAAAGGAGCAGAUGUGAACGUAGUAGCAAAAGAGAAGGUAAGUAUUGAUUGAUGUGUAAAUUUACAGAUCUAGUUUGUAGACUAGAGAGAUCGGGUUCGACGUUGUUAAAUGAGGAAAUGUAUGAGAAAGUGACGAUCAUUUGCGAUGUUGAGGUGGCGUUGGUUGGAAGUGCCGUUUUAAUUUCGCUUGGCCCGUAUUAGUGAACGAAUUGUUUCGUCUCGUUCGCUCCUACGUCGUUUGUUUUGCUGUCGUUUUUUGUUGUUUUAUAUGGUCACGCCCUGUACACAUAUCACGUGACCUACACUGGAGAAGCUUCAUUGACUCUAGUAGCCAAUUUGUGUAUUUCUUGGGGAGACUAUGGUGGUGCGUCUGGUCUUCCAUCAGCGUUGCAAGUAGCAUGUCCUGAUUCGUCAAUCGAAUUGGUAGACUAGCUGCUAGACUACAACAUAAAGCAAACGUGAACUACAAUGAUGAUGGGAAUGGACAGGCAGCUCUGCAUUUAGCUUGUCAGAAUGGUCAUUUGACAACUGUGGAGAAAUUAUUGUCAUCCGGAUGUAACAAAGACUUAGUGGAUGAUGAUCUGUGUUUCAAAAUGACAUGUAAUGAAGCAUGUCAACGAUGAACACCUGAGGAAGCUUUCCACAAUGUGAAAGAACAGAAGUCAACAGCAAUAUACCGAUCAACUGAACGAAGAAGAACCGUUAGAGGACAUUUGGAAGGCGACUUCACCAUUCUUUCAACUAAUCGAGGAAACUUGUACUUGCUGUCGGUUAAGAGUUCUUUGGACAAGAGCAACGGCUACAUGGUUUAUGUUUGAUUUACAAUUUCUGCUAGACAAAGAGAAUUGUUUAGUUUGCAAUUGUGUAUGUGACUGCUAGAAUAUCAAUUAUUAGUAAACUGAAUCAUGUCGUGUUACAAAUAAUUGCUUUGAGUACAAUUUUCUACGUGUUUUCCUUCACACUUACUUUGUACAGAAGUACAUUCAU